rnacentral:rRNA from 1 species
UACGGAGGAUCCAAGCGUUAUCCGGAUUUAUUGGGUUUAAAGGGUGCGUAGGCGGCUUAUUAAGUCAGUGGUGAAAGCCUGCAGCUUAACUGCAGAACUGCCAUUGAAACUGAUGAGCUUGAAUAUACUUGAGGUUGGCGGAAUGUGUCAUGUAGCGGUGAAAUGCGUAGAUAUUGGGAGGAACACCAGUGGCGAAGGCGGCUCACUGGACUGGUACUGACGCUGAGGAGCGGAAGCGUGGGGAGCGAACAGG